GUUAUAGACUCCUCAUGUCUGAAUAACUAAUUACCUGCCUGUUAAAAGCAGAGGAAGCAGAUUAAAAAUGGAGUAUUGAACAGAGUAUUGAACAAGAGGAAGGACUGAAUAGGUCAUCUGCUGACCUGAGGAUAAGGAAAACUCAGGAGGAUUUGCUCCAUAACUUUCUCAGGGACUGAGGCGAUGAUGAUUGGCCUGUAGUUCUCCAGAUCCUCCUUCUAG
rnacentral:lncRNA from 1 species